GACAUAGGGGGCGAGCGUUGUCCGGAAUUACUGGGCGUAAAGAGCACGUAGGUGGAUAAUUAAGUCAGAUGUGAAAGACCGCAGCUCAACUGCGGGGUUGCAUUUGAAACUGGAAAUCUUGAGGGCAGGAGAGGGCAGUGGAAUUCCUGGUGUAGCGGUGAAAUGCGUAGAUAUUAGGAGGAACACCAGUUGCGAAGGCGGCUCUCUGGACUGUAACUGACACUGAGGCACGAAAGCGUGGGGAGCAAACAGGAUUAGA
rnacentral:rRNA from 1 species